rnacentral:rRNA from 1 species
CUUUUACAAUGAAGAGUUUGAUCCUGGCUCAGGAUGAACGCUAGCUACAGGCUUAACACAUGCAAGUCGAGGGGCAGCAUGAACUUAGCUUGCUAAGUUUGAUGGCGACCGGCGCACGGGUGAGUAACACGUAUCCAACCUGCCGAUGACUCGGGGAUAGCCUUUCGAAAGAAAGAUUAAUACCCGAUGGCAUAGUUCUUCCGCAUGGUAGAACUAUUAAAGAAUUUCGGUCAUCGAUGGGGAUGCGUUCCAUUAGCUUGUUGGCGGGGUAACGGCCCACCAAGGCAUCGAUGGAUAGGGGUUCUGAGAGGAAGGUCCCCCACAUUGGAACUGAGACACGGUCCAAACUCCUACGGGAGGCAGCAGUGAGGAAUAUUGGUCAAUGGGCGCUAGCCUGAACCAGCCAAGUAGCGUGAAGGAUGACUGCCCUAUGGGUUGUAAACUUCUUUUAUAUGGGAAUAAAGUGCAGUAUGUAUACUGCUUUGCAUGUACCUUAUGAAUAAGGAUCGGCUAACUCCGUGCCAGCAGCCGCGGUAAUACGGAGGAUUCGAGCGUUAUCCGGAUUUAUUGGGUUUAAAGGGAGCGUAGGCGGGUUGUUAAGUCAGUUGUGAAAGUUUGCGGCUCAACCGUAAAAUUGCAGUUGAUACUGGCAUCCUUGAGUACAGUAGAGGUAGGCGGAAUUCGUGGUGUAGCGGUGAAAUGCUUAGAUAUCACGAAGAACUCCGAUUGCGAAGGCAGCCUGCUGGACUGUAACUGACGCUGAUGCUCGAAAGUGUGGGUAUCAAACAGGAUUAGAUACCCUGGUAGUCCACACAGUAAACGAUGAAUACUCGCUGUUUGCGAUAUACAGUAAGCGGCCAAGCGAAAGCGUUAAGUAUUCCACCUGGGGAGUACGCCGGCAACGGUGAAACUCAAAGGAAUUGACGGGGGCCCGCACAAGCGGAGGAACAUGUGGUUUAAUUCGAUGAUACGCGAGGAACCUUACCCGGGCUUGAAUUGCAAAUGAACGGCGUGGAGACAUGCCGGCCGCAAGGCAUUUGUGAAGGUGCUGCAUGGUUGUCGUCAGCUCGUGCCGUGAGGUGUCGGCUUAAGUGCCAUAACGAGCGCAACCCUUACCGAUAGUUACCAUCAGGUGGUGCUGGGGACUCUGUCGGGACUGCCGUCGUAAGAUGCGAGGAAGGCGGGGAUGACGUCAAAUCAGCACGGCCCUUACGUCCGGGGCUACACACGUGUUACAAUGGGGGGUACAGAAGGCAGCUACACGGCGACGUGAGGCUAAUCCCUAAAUCCUCUCUCAGUUCGGAUUGGAGUCUGCAACCCGACUCCAUGAAGCUGGAUUCGCUAGUAAUCGCGCAUCAGCCACGGCGCGGUGAAUACGUUCCCGGGCCUUGUACACACCGCCCGUCAAGCCAUGAAAGCCGGGGGUACCUGAAGUGCGUAACCGCGAGGAGCGCCCUAGGGUAAAACUGGUGAUUGGGGCUAAGUCGUAACAAGGUAGCCGUACCGGAAGGUGCGGCUGGAACACCUCCUUUCUGGA